AUAAUGCAAUAUAGCCAGGACAGCCUUACAGAGUCGCAGCGCUUUGUGUUGCGUUGCUUCGCAACUCCGGGUUUACCCACCUCUAAUUUUACCACUACAGCACUGGUAGUAAUAAUAUGCUAUGAUGAGAAUGUAUCUCUCUGCUCCAGAGCAAUUAUAAUUCAGGAGGUUUGAAGAAACAUUAAGUGGAUUUGAAUUCUUCUAUUGGGAUUCAUUUUGACGACGCACCUCGGAGAGACCGGACACCAAUUCCUUACAACGUCUGGUUAAGAUAUCAAACCAGAUUCACUACCCUUUGUCCCCUGCUUUGUGUCUACAGUUCUUGUUGGUACAUUAUGGGGACCUGAUACGCUUUAACUGGUGACAAGUGCCAACAGCUCCUCUGAUUACCAACUCCUACAGAGUUACCGCCUCUCAGUGUCUCGCUGCUGCCACCGUCAAUGGGGCGGUUAUUAAAUUGCAUUGUUGUGUCCUGCAUGUGGAGGGGUUUACAUUAAACAUAAAUCACAUACAAAUUAUUGUUCAUCAAUUCCAAAAUAUUACUUACAAUUAUGAUGAUGAAAUCAAAGUAAAAGCUUACUACAGUCCCUCCAAAAUUACAAUUACAAUUCAACAACCAAAAAUGCAAAAGAUACAUCUGUACAUCUUUUAAUGUUUUUAAGACCGUGGUAAGUUGAGUAGCAGGUAACGCUUAGCAUGACCACUUCAUCACAAGCAUGGCAAAGAACUACUGGCCCAUCAGGUAACGUCCAACGCAAAAUACCUUCUUUACAGCCACUGUCCAUUUCUUUUCUCUUGAGCUACCGUAGCAAAUUGGCAGUGUAGCUCAAUGGUGAACACUAAACGGCAAAAUGUAACCUUACAGCAACACUUCUGCCUAUAAAUCUCCUGUAAUGCUACAAACUGGCACAUAGUCAUCGUAGUAUGAACAGGGCUCACACAGCUUACACACACUACGAUGGUGAUGAUGGCCGCAGCCCUCAAACUGAGAAGAAAUAAAUGGGAUUCAACAGGUAAUCUUCUGCUGUAGAAAGCAGAAGGUGUAUAGUUGAGCCCAGCGAUGUCUAAGGAGUGAAGAAGCAGCAGUGAGACUUUCCUCACCUGACUGGAGAUGUCGGCUGCAGCGUUGGAAGUGUCUGCAGGUGGGGCAGAUGAAGCAUCGUUCGUGUGGCCAGCGCUCAUCGAGGGGAAUCAUUUCUCUUAUCCAUACAGCUGAUUCAUGAAGAGCUUCCUGUUUACUGACAAUCUGUUUAUUAAAAACUAAACAUUUUUUUCAAACAAAAAAUGGAACUCAGGAUAUUAAACAUGUAUUGAUAACCGGGCCCAGGCCUCGUGAACCUGCCAGUAACAGACACAAACGUUCUUCUGUCAGUAGCUCCUAACAGACGCAUUCCCUUUAGUGCUUAUUUCCCUUCUCCAACACCAUCGGGAAGUCGACACUAACAGUGUAAAGGGGAUGUAGCUCAGCUAAAUGACCUGUAAAGGAAUAAAAGCAUCAAUUGCUGCACCAUUAUUUAAAACCAAAGCACACACAAUG
ensembl:lncRNA